rnacentral:rRNA from 1 species
UGAGGAAUAUUGGUCAAUGGGCGAGAGCCUGAACCAGCCAAGUAGCGUGCAGGACGACGGCCCUAUGGGUUGUAAACUGCUUUUAUGUGGGGAUAAAGUGCGUGACGUGUCAUGCAUUGCAGGUACCACAUGAAUAAGGACCGGCUAAUUCCGUGCCAGCAGCCGCGGUAAUACGGAAGGUCCGGGCGUUAUCCGGAUUUAUUGGGUUUAAAGGGAGCGUAGGCUGUCUAUUAAGCGUGUUGUGAAAUGUAGGAGCUCAACUUCUAGAUUGUAGCGCGAACUGUCAGACUUGAGUGCGCACAACGUAGGCGGAAUUCAUGGUGUAGCGGUGAAAUGCUUAGAUAUCAUGAAGAACUCCGAUUGCGAAGGCAGCUUACGGGAGCGCAACUGACGCUGAAGCUCGAAGGUGCGGGUAUCGAACAGG